CCGGUUUUAGGGAUUUAUUGGUUUUACUGUUUUAUCCCUUGAUUUUUUCCAUGUAUAUAUAUCUGAAAUUAGUCUCUCUCGGUCUCUCCCUUGAUUUUUUCGUCCAUUUUCUUUCCUUUUUUUUCGGCUAAUUUGUUUCUAAUUUUCACAAAAUCUUCCAUUUUGUUUCCUUAAUUUUUGAAGACUUUGUUUCUUUAUUUUUAUGUUUUUAUUUCAGAAAAUUUUAUAAAUUAUAUAAUUCGAAUAUAUUUUUUUUUUCGGUUUUGUUAUUGAUUUAUUUGUUUUUAAAUUUUAUUAUUGAUUUGUUACCAAUAAUUUAGUGUUUCUUGUUAUAAUAAUUCUAGAUUUGUUUCCAAUUUUUUUUUUUCUAAAUUAAUAUUAUUUAUUUAUUUUUCAAAAAUUAUUACUCCUAAAUUUUGUGUUUAUUUGUUUUUUAUUAAUUUGUUUCAACUGAUUUUGUG
rnacentral:lncRNA from 1 species